GACGAACGCUGGCGGCGUGCUUAACACAUGCAAGUGGAGCGACGAACCAGGGCUUGCCCUGGGGCAAAGCCGCGAACGGGUGAGUAACACGUGGGUAACCUGCCCCGAUGACCGGGACAACCCGAGGAAACUCGGGCUAAUACCGGAUGAGCUCACGCCACAUCAGUGGCAUGAGGAAAGGAAGCUUCGGCCUCCGCAUUGGGAUGGGCCCGCGGCCCAUUAGCUUGUUCGGGGGGUAAAGGCCUACCAACGGCUUCGAUGGGUAGCUGGUCUGAGAGGACGAUCAGCCACACUGGGACUGAGGACACGGCCCAGACUCCUACGGGAGGCAGCAGUGGGGAAUCCUUGCGCAAUGCGCGAAAGCGUGACGCAGC
rnacentral:rRNA from 1 species